rnacentral:rRNA from 1 species
GACGUAGGGACCGAGCGUUGUCCGGAUUUAUUGGGCGUAAAGCGCGCGCAGGCGGCCGUGCAAGUCGGAUGUGAAAACCAGAGGCUCAACCUCUGGCCUGCAUUCGAAACUGCACGGCUAGAGGCAGGUAGGGGAGAGGGGAAUUCCCGGUGUAGCGGUGAAAUGCGCAGAUAUCGGGAGGAACACCGGUGGCGAAGGCAGCUCACUGGGACGGUAUUGACGCUGAGACGCGAAAGCGUGGGGAGCAAACAGG